CGCGAAUCGCCCUUCGGGGUGCCCAGGCGCGAAAACUUUACAAUGCUGGAAACAGCGAUAGGGGGACUUUGAGUGCCAGGAUACAAUUCUGGCUGUCGUGAUGCCUAAAAAGCAUUGCAUAGCAAGGGCCGGGCAAGACCGGUGCCAGCCGCCGCGGUAACACCGGCGGCUCGAGUGGUAACCGCUAUUAUUGGGUCUAAAGGGUCUGUAGCCGGCUGAAAAAGUCUCUUGGGAAAUCCGAUAGCUUAACUAUCGGGCUUCCAGGGGAUACUCUUCGGCUCGAGACCGGGAGAGGUGAGAGGUACUUCAUGGGUAGGGGUGAAAUCUUGUAAUCCUUGAAGGACCACCAGUGGCGAAGGCGUCUCACCAGAACGGAUCUGACGGCAAGGGACGAAAGCUAGGGGCACGAACCGGAUUAGAUACCCGGGUAGUCCUAGCCGUAAACGAUACUCGCUAGGUGUCGGCCACGGUGCGACCGUGGUCGGUGCCGUAGGGAAGCCGUGAAGCGAGCCACCUGGGAAGUACGGCCGCAAGGCUGAAACUUAAAGGAAUUGGCGGGGGAGCAC
rnacentral:rRNA from 1 species